UAAACGAAGUUUAAAAGGAAGCCGCUAACUUCCUAAAAACUUUAAAUUGUUAAGUUUUGUUUAU
rnacentral:tRNA from 1 species